rnacentral:rRNA from 1 species
UACGGAGGGUGCAAGCGUUAAUCGGAAUUACUGGGCGUAAAGCGCACGUAGGCGGCCAUCUAAGUCAGACGUGAAAUCCCCCGGCUUAACCUGGGAACUGCGUCUGAUACUGGACGGCUUGAGUAUGGGAGAGGGAUGUAGAAUUCCAGGUGUAGCGGUGAAAUGCGUAGAUAUCUGGAGGAAUACCGGUGGCGAAGGCGGCAUCCUGGACCAUUACUGACGCUGAGGCGCGAAAGCUAGGGGAGCAAACGGG